GAUGAACGCCGGCGGCGUGCCUAAUACAUGCAAGUCGAGCGAAUGGAUUAAGAGCUUGCUCUUAUGAAGUUAGCGGCGGACGGGUGGGUAACACGUGGGUAACCUGCCCAUAAGACUGGGAUAACUCCGGGAAACCGGGGCUAAUACCGGAUAACAUGUUGAACCGCAUGGUUCGAAAUUGAAAGGCGGCUUCGGCUGGCACUUAUGGAUGGACCCGCGUCGCAUUAGCUAGUUGGUGAGGUAACGGCUCACCAAGGCAACGAUGCGUAGCCGACCUGAGAGGGUGAUCGGCCACACUGGGACUGAGACACGGCCCAGACUCCUACGGGAGGCAGCAGUAGGGAAUCUUCCGCAAUGGACGAAAGUCUGACGGAGCAACGCCGCGUGAGUGAUGAAGGCUUUCGGGUCGUAAAACUCUGUUGUUAGGGAAGAACAAGUGCUAGUUGAAUAAGCUGGCACCUUGACGGUACCUAACCAGAAAGCCACGGCUAACUACGUGCCAGCCGCCGCAGUAA
rnacentral:rRNA from 1 species